ensembl:lncRNA
CACGGGGAGUUCCCUGAGCCUCUGGGUGAGUCUGCCAGCCUUAGUGCACCUUCUGUCACGCAUGGAUACCUGCUGCUCUCUGCUCUGCUCUGUGACGAUGGCUUCUGUCAGGGUGCUAGGCUCAAGCCUAAGUACAGCAGCACUGUCUGGUCCUGACGUGGGCUUACGUUCUCUUGAGGUCCCCGUCUUUCUUUCGUGUUGAAUGAGGAAGAAGGUUUGUAGCGCCCGCAGCCAUCCUCGACAGAUGUGCUUUCUAAUGAUCGCAUUGUUGAGCACAAUGUGCAGAGGAAUCGGUUUGCAUAGCAAAGUCAAAUGCUGCACCAAGGAAUGAUGAAGUCUCUUUUGGCCGUUGCUCAAAAGAAAGCCACUUGCAAAUCUGACAGGAAGUGAGCUGACAGCCGGAGUGCUGGAGGCAAAUAUCUUAUGCAAAAUAUCUGGCUGUGCUGACCGCCUUGAGGUCAGGGGUGGAAGGACCAAAUCUCUUAAGUCACACUGAUAAGUACAAUCGGACUGGGAAGUACCACUUCAGUGCCUGCCGAAUGCUUUGAAGAAGAGGGGAGAUUGCUAAGUGUCAAAGGCAAACUCAAAAUCGGAGAAACCCGGAAGCCUAGCAUGUGUUCUUUGCCUGUAGGCAUGCAGAUGGCUGUGUGCACUUGCAAAUGCAGAGUGAGCACUCGGUGACCAAGACUUUGAAGAAUUUCCUGGGACUCGCUUGGGUUUGGCUCAUCUGCUUUUCUGGAGACGGGUGUGGAUGUGCAGAAACCCGGGGCUUUCAUACAAAAUACUAUCUAGCCUUUUUUGGGGAACCUGAAUAAAGCUUGAAUGCGAAUGAUUGCUGCAAAUGCAUCGAAGCCUGUUUGAGGCCUUACGUCACUGCAGAAGGUCUGCUGGCCAUGAGCUUUGAAGAGGAGCGAAUAUACAGCACAUGUACGGCUUUCUGAGCAAAGAAAGCCAGAAGCCCGGAGCUCCCCUGUGGAAAUCAAUGCUCAGAGUUGGCUCUAAGAAUGGAAGGAGCAAAUGAGGUGCAGAUCACCAACUCAAGUCCAUAGCAGGACAGGGAGGAAGGAAGGGUUUAAUUAGAAAUGGUAGAACAGGGCAGGAAGUCACUGAAGUAUGAGGCCAAAAUAAAAUGUGUGGGGUGAGCGUGGGGAACAUGGAACAUAACCACACAAAAAUGUUAGGGGUGUCUCCAUGGGAGAGAAAUGAGAGAAGAGGAUAUGCUGCAUGUUUGCCUCAGGAAAAGCAAUUGCUGAUUCAUCCCAUCUGCCUUUCUCUUCAUGGGUGCUGUUGCGAAACAACAUACUUUCAUGUCUGAAGAUAAGAGG